GGCAGAACUUGGCGGAGGAGAGCUCAUACCCCCACCAGGUGCCCCACCGGGUGAGGUGGGUGUAGGAGCUCCUCCGGGACCAGAAGCACUUGAAGGUGUAGGAGCUCCUCCGGGACCAGGAGCACUUGAAGGUGUAGGAGCUCCUCCGGGGCCAGGAGCUGGUGAGGAUGACGGCACUGAUGCUGGUGUAGGUGCUGGACCCGCUGGUGUUUUUGGUGCUGGGGCUGGUGUUGCUGCUGCUGGUGUUUUUGCUGGCGCCGGGGCCGAAGUCGGUGGUGCAGGUGUAGUUGACGGUGUUGAUGCUGGCGGAGGUGUGGAUGAGGGUGGAGGUGUGGAUGCUGGUGGAGGUGUUGAUGGUGGCGAUGAUGCUGGUGGAGGGGUGGCUUUAGGAGCUGGAGCUGGAGCUGCACCACCUCCUGAAACGGAGACGGUCAAUUUUUGUCCCAAGGAACAGUGCUGGCCGAAGGUGCAAAUGAAAUAUGCCUGCCCUGGGGAGGUUAGAUUGAUUCUUGCCGGACCAACAGUUUGUAGUGAGAUGGGAUUGCUUGAGGUGCAUCCGUCAUAACUUGCCUUUGAAACUACGGCCACAUCGUGAGCCCCAGUUGCGAAGUUAAAAACUGCAACAAUUUACAAAGUUUCACUACUCAUUUAUCAAGACACUCAGAAUCCUAACCUGUAUCAUCAAACUGAACACAAAAAAAUUAAAAAAAAAAAAAAUCUGAUGCCAAUCAAGCAAGAAUUUUAUAUUAGUAGUUUCAUAGCAGCAUCGAUCCAUUUCUAAGUCCAACAAAAACAAAAUCAAGAAAAGCUGCUAAAAAAAUCUAUUCAGGGUUCAGCGUGCCCUGCGACAAAGAUGUAGGGGCAGGGUACAUAAAUAUCUCGUACGUACCUAAGAUAUCACCAACUUUGAAGGUCUGUUGAGAAGCCCAGUUGGGAUAGACCGAAGAACCGGAGGGGACUGUCCAGCCCAAGCUGUCCCCGACCACAUGAGUUGCCGCAUCGGUGUUUCCUAGAAUAGCAGCGGCUAGAAUUACCAAAAGUGGCACUGCUGCAAAGGUGGUACUUGCAGCCAUACUUUCCUCUAGCUAGAGGGGCUACUUAUGUGUUCUCAAGUCGACCCCUGCCUGAAGCUUUCUAAGCUUUUGCUAAUUGUGGGAUCCUGCUCAAGCGUUCAAGAACCCUUCCGUUUCAACCAGGGAAAUCAAAUAUAAUAGAUUAUAGAGAGAGAGAGAGAGAGAGAGGAAACACAAAAGAAAAGGACGUGCGAUGAGUAGGAUGAGUUUUCCUUGGAAGUGUGUGUGGGAGGAAGAGGAUAUAGCCAUAUAGGGGGUUUCAAAAGGAUAGAUUCCACGUGGAGUGGUAAUAGUGCGUCAGUGGUAGCUAGGGAUUGGCUAUUGAAUUGAUGAGCAGUUGCUGAACGACUACCCGCAUCAGCAAUUCAGCAAACGGUAGAAACACUGUAGGAGAUUUUUGGUCCAACUAGUGGUCUUCCAACUCAACUGUUCAUCGUUCGGUGCGUUGGAAAAUGCUUUGCCCACAAACAUUGCAAAAGAGGCCUUUGAUUUUUCAAGCGCCUAAUGAAUGUCGGGCGGUGUUAGUGUCAUAAUCUAUAAAUUUUGCUAAUUCUUGAAUAAAAUGCGAAGCUUGUCUUUAUUCAAGUCAAAAUGAAACGUAGAUUGAAAAGAAGUCAAAAUUCGGACCGUGAUAAUAUCAUCAUCAUUGGCGAAUGCACACGCGUGUCCGAUCUUCACAGGCGUGGUGGAGUUGCUCUUACCAAAAAUAUCAACCGCGGAUAUGGUCGUGCAAAUUCAAGAAGUAUUCCUGGGUGGAGAACGGAAUACAUAGCUGAUGGGCAUGGCUGUAGCCUGUAAUGAAGGGGUACGAGAGUACUGUAUUUUCACCGGGAAGCGUGACUUUUCUAGUAUUUGGAGUUAGUCUACCGUCGGUCGGCAUUCCUUUAUGAAAGUGGUGAUCAAGGCCCACCACGCGUUUUUGCUGCUUCAAACUUUAGAAGUCAGCACAGACCGACCGCUUUCUACGCAAUAUUGUAUAACCUAUCAAUUUUAGCAUAGUUAUUAAACACAACCCGGGAGGGAACCCGGUGAGCGAGGUGGGUCAACGGGUUACUGGUUUAACCAGUAGGUGAGAGGUUGAACCGGUGGGUCACUAAAUAUAUUUAAAUAUUAUAAUUCAUAAUUUUAAAUAUAAGAUAUAAGAUAUAAAUUGUAAUAACUAAUGUCAUAGCAAAUACUCAUAUAAUUUAAUUUGCUAUAAAAUAAUUAAUUCAUAUAAGAAUCAAUAAAAUAUAAAAUUAUUUAGUAAUACACCAAAUUUUAAGUAUAAAAUUUUAUCUAUAUUCAGUGUAAUUAUCUAACUUAUUUAUAAGUUUUAAGUGCAAAAAAAUAUUAAAAAUAAUAUUUGUCUUUAAAAUGAAUUAUGUAAUAUGUUAUUUUUGAAGUCUAUUUUAUAACUUAUAGAGUUUGGGGGUCAUAAAUUUUUAUUAAAAGAUUCCAAAUAAAUUUGUUUUAGAGAAAUGAAAAAAAGAUAAAAUUGAAAAAGGUUUAUAUAUUAUAAGUAAGAAAUCUUAGCACCAUAUUGUGAAGUAGCUUGGUGGUGUCUGCGUUGUAGCAAUGCUCAUAUGUCCAAUGUUCGAAUCCCAUCAAAGGCAUAAAUUUUUUCUCAGGAACCCGGUUUGUAGACAAAACCGGCCGGGUUUCCGGUUUAAACCGGUCAAACCGCCGGUCCGUUGACUAGAAUGCUCAUAUGUCCAAUGUUCGAAUCCCAUCAAAGGCAUAAAUUUUUUCUCAGGAACCCGGUUUGUAGACAAAAUCGGCCGGAUUUCCGGUUUAAUCCGGUCAAACCGCCGGUCCGUUGACUAGUCAACGGGUUGAUUGCUUAAACGAUCUAACUCAAAAUCCAGUCCGGUCCAAUGUCCGGUUCACCGGUUUGACUGAUUCGACUGCCGGACCGAGCCGGGUUUAAUAACUAUGAAUUUUAGACUAGAGAAAAAGGAGAGUCCGAAGAGUCUUUGUGCAGAUACAUAAAUUUUACUAGAUUAAAGAAGUAUUUUGUCAUAAUUUUUAAAUUUUUUUUACUAUAAAUGGGAUCUAAACCCUCACUAAUAGUCCAAGCAGGAUUUUAAAACCCAAGCUCAGUGAUUACCGCUUUCUACAGUUGAAAUGUCGACCAAUUUAGCUUAUGGUUCUGAACACUGAACUACGAGAAGAUAAGAGUCUGUUAUCCCUUUGAAAUGUCAGCAAAAUCUAAUGGCUUAAGGGUCACCAUUUGUCCCGAAGAUGGUUGGCUGAGGAGCCCCUCUUCGCUUCCUUUUUGUUUGGCAGGGAGUCGUUUCAUAUCGGACGCGGGGUUGGAACGGUUGUCAGAACAACAGCUCCUGAAGGUGUAACAUUAUUUAUACAUGAUGUAACAUCAUUUGUACAAAGUGUAAUAAUAGAAUAAUAGCGAGUAACACUAGAACAACAUUUUUGUGAGUCCCACACGACGUGAAAAUCGAAUUACAAGACGUGAUUUGAACCGCACAAAAUUUUGAGACCUCAUCCAGACCGUGAACUGCCUGGGACGGUUGUCUCUGGACGAGGGGCCCUCGUCCUUUCAUAUCAUACAAUAUGAGCCUAGUGAAACAAAUCUAAACACAUCAAUAUAUAAUAAAUAUUAAUUUUUUUUCGCAACAGCGACAAUCCACCGCACUACUGAUUUUUUUUUUUUUAUUGUUUUAUACGGAAUCUUUUUGUUUCGUAUGGAGUCGUUUCAUAUAAUAUGAGUCUAGUAAGAAAAUCUAAAUAAAUCAAUACGUGACAAAUAAAAUUUUUGCUUUUUUUGCAAUGGCAACAAUCUAGUGCACUGCUGUACUUCCUUAUCAUUUCAUGCAAUAUGAGCUUAGUUAGUAAGAAAAAUCUAAAUACAUCAACACAUAACAAAUAUAACUUUUUUUUUUCAAACCAUGACAAUUAAGUGGACUGUUAUACUUCCUUGUGAUGCAUUAAACAGACUAUUAUACUUUUUAGUUUUUAUGAUGCACUAGACAUUAUUUAAAUCUCACACCUAGGGCGCCGGAGAGAUUUAAAGUGACUCUCCUAGACCAUUGACCAUUGACCAUUGGACCAACUCCCAAUGGUUACGUAACAACCAUUAACGUGAAGUAUUAAACUGAACGAAGAAAACCUUCAAGUCCAAUUUCUUGAUAUACAUAUCAUUGUAAGCCAAUUGACGAGUGACUUGGGUAGUGUUUUCUCUGGCAAUGACCAAAAGCCAUAAAAGAUGUACAGUCCACAUCCAUGAAGGAACCAAGAAAUACAAAUCGGGCAUGCCAUCAAGUUGGAGGCGCUGAGGCCAUGCCUUUAUGCGCGGCGGGCCGGGGAGCCAAGCUUGGUGGGGGUGAAAAGAUGUUUGUUCUCCCCCCCGGCGGCGGGGGCGGGUUUUUUUAUUCGAAUUGGCGCAGUGAAAUUAAUGGCAUUUUCCAUCCUAUAGAAAAAGAUCUUCUUUUUAUUUCUUUAUUUGAAAAAAUAAAAGUAAAAAGUGAUGACAUCUGAAGCUUUAGCCUUUAAGCAUUUUUUUUUAAAAAAAAAUUAUUUUAUAGUUGUUUAAAGCGGAAAUUGAGAACUGCAAAAACAAAUUCUAUAGGAGAAAAAGUGCUCCUACAAUGGAAAAUUAGUGAGGGCAAUUCUGCUUGCAUCCUUUAAAGUUUGUACAACUACAGGAGUCUACUUUGUGUGUCCCAAGUACUACGUUGAAAUCCCUAUUAUUUGUUUGACAUUAUGGUUGAAAAAGUAAUGGAUAUAUUUUCGUUGGAAUUACGUGGUGUCAAGAUAAUCUUGAAGUAAUGGAACAUCUUAAGAUAAGAUAUAUCAACAUGGAGAAGGAGGCUUAGAAAAAUGGGGCUUCAAAAAUUCGGAGGAAUUGUUGUAUUUUUGGCUAAAAUAAUCUACUUUUUAAAAAAUAAUUUCAAAGUAAUGCUCUUUUAGUUAUUCCUUUAUUAAUUUAAUUAUUGCCAUGUAGACUCUACAUCAACGGAAAAAAAUUACUUGUAAAUCUUUUGUUUAAAUAUUACAUAGUUUUUCUUUAUUUAGUGCCUUAAGGACAUCCUGUCAACAAAUUAAAAAAUGAAAGUGAAUCUAUAAUUAGUGUUUUUAAAAUUGUUAAUCACCCUCCAAAUUGCAAUGAUUUUGCCAAAGAACCUUUUUUUUUUCAUUAAACACGUACAGAGGAAUUAAAUACGCCAUUAGCUAUCAAAACUAGCUUUUGGGGUACGAUCAAAAGGUCUCCUUUCCAAUAGAAACUCGACGCUCUUCUUCCCCGGGGUCCACCUUUCUAUGCAGAUGGCAAUUGAGGAAACUGCCGACACCUUCCAAUUAGAAUAAAGGCAUAUUUUUACUUUGUAGAGAAUUUUAGAAAAAAAAGUUGUACCAGGUGGAAUAAUUCACCCACUAUUUAUUUCCCAUAAAAGAAAGACAAGAAGAGGCCGUUCACAUCUAUUUCCUAAUCAUCUCCAACCACCACAAGUCAAGAUGAAAUUAUUUUUGGAGAUCCAUAUGUAUAUAUUUAUGCUGCUCUCUUUUUGGCAAAAAAGGAAAGAUUACACCAAUUAUUUCUCACAUAUUAUUGAUGAUAAAUUUAGUUCAUCAAAUUUAAAAUCACCAAUUUUAGUUCCUAAUAAAUAAAACCCACAUAUUUUUUAUGUGUGGUCAGUAUUUAAAAGGCAACUCUGAUAACUCACUUAAUGUUAACUUAAAAUUUUCACUUAAUCUAUUUAUUUCUCCUAAUUUUUCUUCACUCAAACCCUUAUUUGACAAAUCCAAAAAUAUAUACACACACCUCCCACUCUUACUAUCAUCUUCCCUACUAUUCCCACUUUCACUUGCUGUCACAUUUGAUCUCUUCUCACUCCUUUCUUGCCACCGCUUUCUCUUCUAUCUCUCUCUUCUUUAGUUUUCUCCUCCUUUUCCCUGCUGAUAGGUUGCAUUUUAGUGGGUAUUUUGGGCAUUAUUGCAUAAUUAUUUGACUAAAUAUUUUCGUUAAUUGGGUGGAUUCUACUGAUAUUUUGUUUUGGUGCUAAUUGCAGGGAUGGUUGCUGAAAAGUGCUUAAAUUCAACUUUUAGAAGAUUCAUCGGACGUGGGGCCCAUUUGAAAAGUUAAAGAAACCUAAUUGUAAUAGAUUUUAUUUUAAUAUAUUCCUAGGGAGUCUGGCUGCAGUUUUGGGGACAAGUAACAAUUUCCGGCUAUUGGGAAUACUAUUUAUCUCUCGCGCGGCUUGGGUUAGAAGGGGGUUCUUUUUCUCUUUGUUUUGGUUCUUCUUUGGCUCUGGGAGGAGACAAAACAGCCGCAGCUUUGUAGGGAGAAAGGAAUAGCCACUUUUGUUGACUUUGGGGAUUCUAUGAACUAUUGAUUUGUUCUGUGACCAAAUUGAGAAGUGAAAAAACAAUUGCAAUCUUCCAAUCUCUCGUAUGUUUUCUUGCGUGAGAGAAGAGAGAAAGUAAAAGUGAGCCGCAAUCGUGGACUUUGGUCAUUGCUUUUCAUUCUGGCUUUGACCGAAGGAAAUUGAAGCAAUCGUAAUCCAUUGUCGCUCUUUUCUCUCUUCGGUUGACCGAAGUGUACGAAGGUCAAGUCUUCCGUUUGCCUAGAUUAAAGAAUUGACGGCUUCCUCCAGCUUUGCCGCAUGGCCUGUACUCCAAUUAUGAGGAGCUAAUUCUUCAAUUCUAGUCAAGGGGACAACUGACGAUUUGGUUCAGAAAUUACUGUGAGAUCGAAUUUAUUUUAACUAUUUCCUUCAUUUAUUAAUAUUUAUAUAUUUCCUGUUUUUAAGUGUUAUAGCCGUAUGUAUGAUUGAUUAGUGCGCAAUAAUUAAUUGUUCAUAUAGGCUAUUUUGCUAUAUAGGGGUGAUUGAAUCCGUAAUUGUUCGUUACUUCUAUUCCAGUAGCAACUGGCACAAUUGGAUUUGUGUCAGGGAAAUAUUUGAUCUGGCUUGAAUGAACCCUCGUAGCGUGUUUGUUAGUCAGGAUUGGGCCUUUCUAAUUACUAAUGCAAUCUAGAAAUUGAAUCCUACGGUCGUACCUAGGGUUGUUUUUGGGUUAGAGAAAUAGCUAACGGUCGUACCUUAGCUAUCGAUAAAUUAAGGAAGGGUUGGUUGUUUAGCGCGUGCGAGACAACUAGAACCAAUCUAUUAAUAAAGGUUGGAAUUAUUUUUUGCAUCAAUGAUCAGUGCAUGAACCAUUUCUGAAGUAUACCCUUGGCUAGAGUUUCUCUUAGUUAUUUCUUUUAAUUAAUUAGUUUCUGCAUUUAAUUUGUUCAGUUGGCUUUUGAUACCAAAACCCCCCCAUUAAUCUUGAUUUGAAAAGAAACAAAUAUUUCUCCAGUCCCUGAGGAGACGACCCUGCUUGCCACUGUCUGCUAGUUAGGGAGUUCAGUUAAAUAAUUAAUUCAGGUAUAUCGGAUUAAGCAAACUCUUCGGGAACAGGGUGAAUCAAGUAACCCAUUGCACACCUAGAGUCCCUGCUCCAGUACUCGAAUUGAUUAUUAGCUGUUUCAGGUGGUAGUUAGGAUUUAUUUAUUAUUAUUGCACAGGUUCGGCACCUGUCACCUGCUUAUUUUUCUCCGACCACUACUCAUUCUGCCACCUCUUCUUAUUUUCUUCCCUCCUCUUUCUUUCCUAUUCUCUUCUCCUUUACUUUCCCAUUAUUCCUUGCUUUCUCUUUUCUUCUUUCUCUUCUUCUUCUUAACUUUUGUCUCUCCAUACUCCCCUUUUUCCCAGCGAUUUGGUUGUGUUCCAAGUGAGGGAAAGAGAGAGGCACUAGAGAAGGAGAAAGGGGAAAAAAGAGUGGCAGAGGAAAAAAAUAAGACAGAAGAAUGAUAAAGUGGGAGAAGAAGAGAAGAAUAGAGGGAGAAAAAGAAUAGGUGGUAGGAGAAGGAGUGAAAGAGAAUCAAGAGUGCUGAUGGAAGUAAAACGGUGGUGAAAGAUGAAAAUGGAUGUAUGUAUUUUCAGGUUUGUGAAAUUAGGGUUUAGAUGGAGAAGAAUUUAGAAAAAUGAUAGAUUAAGGUUUUGUUUGAUAAAACUGAAUCUGAAUUUUGAAGUUUGAAUUCUGAAAUCUGAAUACUGAAACAAUUAAUUUGCUGAAUUUUAAGCACUGGAAAAAUAUAUGAAUGUUUGAAUUUUAAUGCUAAACUUAUUUAUACCGUUUGAUAAAUAUUUAUAGCUGAAUGCUUAAUAAGUUUAAUUUAACAAUUUUGCUCUUAUAUCAUUUCAUUCAAAAAAGAAAUAGAAUCUAUUAGUUUAAAAUUGUUAGGUAUGAAAAUGAUAAUAUUUAUUUUUGAAUCAAAUUAAUAUAAAAGAUGAAAUAUAUUAUAUAAGGAGUAUGGAGAAGAUGUGAAAGUCAUUAAAAAGGGAGAAAAGAGAAACUAAAAAUUGUUAAAUAGAGAAUAUUAUGUUGUUUAAUUAGAUAAGAAUUUUGAAAAUAAUUAACAAACAAGGAUAGAUUUGGUAGAUAAGAUAAGGUAGUUGAAAUAAUUUUAUUGAUUCUUAUCAGAAUUAAGCAUUCAAUUAGGAUUCCUGUACUGAAAAAAAUACACACAGGUUCAGCACUGCUUAACAAAUUCAGCAAAUAGAUUUUCAUUUAUCAAACACUCAAAACAUCUGAAUGUCUGAAAAAAUUCAGAUUCGACACUUUUUUAUGUUAUCAAACAGACCCUAAGUCAACAAUUGUAUUAAGUAAAUUGUCUGAUUUGGCAUUUAAAUAUUGACCAUGUGAAAUGUUCUAACUUAUUUCGGCCAAAAUUUGACUUGGAAGGCAACAAAAGACCAAAAAAAGUAUUUUAGUCCUAACAAAUAAAAAUUACUUUUUUAAAUCCCUAUAGAAAAUUUUGGUAAAUUUUCUAUAGGGAUCACUAAUACGACGAAAAUAAAAUAAAGAAUGGUUUGGUUAACAGGUGCCUAAUGAGCCGCCGUUAAGAGGGGUCUUAAGUAUUACUUUCUAGAGGGGUUUCAAGUAUUAGUUCUUUAGAUAAAUUUAGAGGUUUUUGUUUAAUGAUUAAGAUUGAAACUUUAGAAUUUAAAGGUUCUGGAUUCAUACCCCUAUUUUUCCUCCUCAUUCCUUAAAUCUCACCAUUCUCCCAUUUAAAUUUUUUAAAAAUGUAAUUAAUUUAAGAAAGUAUAUAAAUGCAGGGGUAUAAUAAUUAUGAUUGUGUUCACCCCUCCCCUUUUUUUAAAAAAAUUAAAAUAUAAUUAAUUUGAGAAAGUAUAUAAAUGUAGGGGUAUAAUAAUUGUGAUUGUGUAUAUUCAUAUUACAGCUUAAGUGUAAUCUAGAUGUGCUAACAAAUGCCCACUAAAGAACUAGAAAAAUUAAACAAAAAAGUCUUUGAUUCAUUUUGGAAAAUUAAAAUCAUAGGUUUCAUAUUUGCAUUCAAAUUGAAGAAGGCCCAUCAAAUAAAGGCCGUUAUUAGCGAAUCCAUGCUGGAUCUAAACUUGACCUUGUCUUUUUCCUUUCAAUAAAUCUUUGAUAAUGUUAUAGGUGUCAAAUAAAUCCAUUUAACUAAAUUUAUUCAUAUUCAUCCAUGAAUAGAUGGGUAUAGAUAUUUUAAAUUUUUAUAUAUGGGUAUAAAUAUGUUAUCCAAUAAUACCUAUUUAAUAAAUGGGUAUAAUGCCCAAUAAUACCCAAAACCUUAAACUCAUUUAAUAAAUAAGUAUAAUUGAGUAACCAACCAAAUAUAAUUAACCCAUUUAGAAUUAUUUUUACAAUCACAUCCAUUUAGAAUUGUCUUCAGCAAUAAUAUCCUAAUUUCUUUAUCACCUUUGACCAAAGGUAGCAUCAAAAAGUGGAGAACCAAACGGAAAGGUGGGAAAAUAUGUUAGCCAAUUUUUAACUAAAAGAAUAACUAUGCACUUGGAGAUUUUUCUGUCCUGUUUUCAUUUGUAUUUUCCUAGUAUCCAGUUUCAAGUUCAUAAGUUGGUCAAUCAUUGUUUAAUCUGUCUUUUUCAUGGUUCCAAAUCCUUUCCCUAUUGCACAACAAAUUAUUCAAUUAUUAAAUAGUAUUUAAUUUUGUCACACAGCACAUAGAUGGAAAAAAUGUUGGUAAUUAGAUUUAUCGGGCAUUAUAAGUAAAUAUUUUAAAAUUAAUGAUCGGUACAAACUGCAAAUGGUGGUAUCAAUUGAUAAUUUAGUGUAUAAAAUAAAUUUAGAUGAGUUUGUAAAAAGUUAAAAUAAAUGAAUUGUAAAUGAAUAAUUGGACUACUAACUCAUUUUUUUAUUUAUUCACUUAUAUGAAUAUCCAUCUAAUUAAAUGAGUAUAAAUGGAUUGACUCACUUAUAUCCAUUACCCAUUUUAACCCGUCCAGGUUACCCAUUUUGAUUGAUAAUCAGCUCUCUUUUUCUCACCUUUUUUGGUUCCUUGCGUACCAAAGUUGGAAGACAAAAGGAGAAUCAAAAAGGAAAAUGGAAAACCUCAAGAAUGCAAACCAAUAAUGCUAGAAAGUUUCUUCUUGAAGUUAUGGGUCAAAUUUGGUUCCUUUUUAGCCUGCCUCAAUCACCAGGAUCAUUGUCGGCUUUACACUUUGCUGAACAACCGGAUGGCACUCAGAAAUCAGUAGACUCUCGAAGCAUCGGAUGCCCAUACAAAGGAAAGCGAGUGAUUCAGAUCCCAUAUUCCUUUGGAUAAAAUAUCAAUUAACAUAGCAAAACUUAUUUGGUCAAGGCUCCGAUUUAUAUCAAUUUCGAGCCCCAGCGAAAAGGGUAACACACUCAAGUCAAUUCGGAGACGGCAAUUAUCGGAUGGAAGAGAAGACAAUUACGUCAAGUCCCCGUUAAUAUCAUCAAUCCAUAGAUGUGGCAAAACUUCAAAGUCGCCGUUCUACGACCGACAUUGCCGUUCCCAUAAUCCGGACAACCGCGUUUAAGAGUCCGAAGCCAGAUAAAUCCCAAAAGCCAGUCAACCAUUUUUGUCUUUUCAAGCACAGGGUACUAAGUUUAACUCAUUAUCCAGAUUAACCGGAAAAAAAAAAAAUAUAUAUAUAUAUAUAUAUAUAUAUAUAUAAUAAUAAUUAGGAGAUUUUUAAUUGAACUACAUAGACAAGAUAUCAGACACCAAGUUUAUUGGACAUAGACAUGUAUACGUUGGCCAAACAAAUACUCCAAACGAUCAGCAACUUCGAAAGAAAAAAGAGGAAAAAGAAGUAAUAUGUUCUUUUAAUGCACUGAACGUGACAUUUGAUGGUAGCUGAUCUACAGGUAUAAAGAUUUUUCCUACUGCUAAUCUGGUGUGAAAAUUCAAAGCAUUGGCCCCCAAGCGAGAAAAAAAAAAAUGGUGGUGUAGUUUUAUUCCAUUCAUCCACCCACUUACAAAAUCAAAAGAAAGACUACACUUGAGACUGCUAAUACCAACGUUUUGGACCCAAACCUCCUUCCACCUUGGAUUUCCUGAAACAUUGCACGUCAUCAGAUUUAAUAUUGAUAGGAGGAUAAACUAUGAAUCAAUCAAAACUAUAGAAACAUGACAAGGACUUAAAAAAUCUCUUGCUCAAGUCUCUGGCUGACGGAGGGAAAAAAGAAAAAGAAAAAGCCCAUCACUUUGAACCAAACAUUGAAUUGUAUAGCAUAUGCUGGUGAUACCCAAGAACUGAAAACGCAGAAAGAAACAUUUGAAAACAUAACCCUUUAUCUUGCUAAGAUGAAUUGAGACAAGUUGCCCAAAUGAUAAUUUUUCAUGCUACUUUUAAAAAAUUAGAGCUGCAUAAUCUUUGCUCCAACGCCAGGCGAAAGCUGUGGCUUAUAAUGUCAGUGAGAGAGUAGGACACUGAAUUGACAGUUCGAGAAGUCAAGAACAACACAAACUCAAGACGACAAUGAGUGACAAUUUUACCUCCAUUUCACAUGCAUCUGCAUAAACUAGAGGAUUCCAGGAAACAACAAAAAAUUUUGCCUUUCCAGUUAAAUUGAGGUAAUGUUUAACUUAAGAAUUGACUAAAAUGGCCGGGAGUUCGUAAAACAUUAAGCUAAAAGCAGAUUACACAAUAAUUAGGUUGGUAGAUAGAUAAAAAUCCAUGGCUGGGUCAUAUAUCUGCCAUGCUCCCAUGCCUUGGCCCACACAUUAUAACAUUUAGACAAUUUAGAGUAUCAUAAAUUAUCUGAAGAACUCAGUUAUUUUGGGUGGUCAAGUAUAGAAGUUAGAGGUGAGGAAAGUAUUUAGAUAAUUUAGAUUAUGAUAACACCUCGGCCUUCAAAAAGCCUACCAGUACCAUCCAGCAAGCCCCUUUUCAUUUGCACAUACUUUCAAUCAAUAGACCUCCAAAAGGGGAUAGUGUUGCAAAAGU
rnacentral:lncRNA from 1 species